rnacentral:rRNA from 1 species
UACGGGGGGGGCAAGCGUUGUUCGGAAUUACUGGGCGUAAAGGGCUCGUAGGCGGCCAACUAAGUCGGACGUGAAAUCCCUCGGCUUAACCGGGGAACUGCGUCUGAUACUGGAUGGCUUGAGUUUGGGAGAGGGAUGCGGAAUUCCAGGUGUAGCGGUGAAAUGCGUAGAUAUCUGGAGGAACACCGGUGGCGAAGGCGGCAUCCUGGACCAACACUGACGCUCAGGCGCGACAGCGUGGGAGCAAACAGG